GUCUACAGCCAUACUACCCUGAACAAGCCCGAUCCCGUCUGAUUUCAGAAGCUAAGCAGGGUCGGGCCUGGUUAGUACUUGGAUGGGAGACCGCCUAGGAAGACCAAGUGCUGUAGGCA
rnacentral:rRNA from 1 species